UCCAUCCCCUCCCUUUGUCUCUCACAUCACCUCCGCACCCAUCCCCUCCGCUGGCGGGAUUCGCCGCUCCCCCUUCCUCCAUCUCGCUCACACUCACAGCCACCGCCGCCGCCGCAACCCAAACCCUCUCCCUCCCACCCUGAUCCGCUGUCACCCCCACCUUCUACGACCUAGAUCGAGCAAGCGAGGCGGUGCUUCCAGACCCGCGACGGCGGCAGAGGGACGGGGCCGGGGCGUGUGCCAGAUCUGCGCCGACGGCCUGGGCACCACGCUCGAAGGCAAGGUCUUCAGCGCAACCCCCCAACCCCACCCCCACCCCACCCACCCACCACAGCAACAAGGGCAAGCGUGCGUCAACAUCAGACGUCUCGUCCCGGAUUGUGAUUCACGGAGGCGUUUCUCGGCGGCCACAUGAGCUCCGGGAUGGCCGGAUCGGUCCUCCUCCGCCGCGCCGGCGCUGGCGCCAACCGCCUCUUCGCCACCACCGCGACGUCCCCGGGGGCCAAGACCUCCCUUGUCGGCGGCAAGGGCGCGUUGCUGCGGAUGAUGUCCACUUCCGCGGCCUCGUAGGUGGUCAAGGCGGAGGCGGCCAAGGGCGAUGGUUAGAAGAAGGAGGUGGCGAUCAGCAGCUACUUGGGGGAUCGAGCAGUCGAAGAAGCUGGUGCGUGAGGAAGGCACCGAGUGGAAGUGGUCUUGCUUCAGGCCAUGGGAGGCGUACAGCGCAGACAUGUCGAUCGAUCUGACCAAGCACCAUGUGCCCAACACGAUGCUCGACAAGAUCGCCUACUACACCGUCAAGUCCCCGCGCUUCCCCACCGACAUCUUCUUCCAGGUACGCAUGCUUCCUGGUGUGGCGCCCCUGCUACAUUCACGAGUGCAAGCGUCACGUGGCCGUGAGCAGGCCAGUUCCACGCCAACAAGAUGAACCUGGGCACUGCAACUACCUAAGUACUCUUCUGUUAAUGAACUUCCUCCACACCUGUAGUGACAAGAAAACACUGAAGAAGUGGUUCUUCAUCGACAAGACAGUUGGCUAAGAAAAUCCAGCUGAAAGAGAGACAACCAUCGUACCUGCCUGAGAAAGAUCUUGCCUACAGUGCAUGGAUGCUAAGGUCAUUGUUAUGAAGGCCCCACAAGAAGGCGUGGGGGAUUUGGCACAAGGCCGGUGAUCGAGUCUAUGCUCUCUCCUCCAUGGAAAGACCUAUGUUCAACUUGCUUGAAUGAACAGUGUGUGUGGAACAGAUUCUUGUCUGAAUUCUCUUCUUGUGGGAGUAUGAACUUGCUUGUAGUAUCUUGGAGUAUCAACUUGGAGCAUCUGGUUAGAGUAGCAUCUUGCAACACAUUCGAUUACUCCAGUACUGAUAGUUACAGUAGCAUCUUGAAAAAUGGAGUAGUUAGAGUAGCAUCUUCGAUUAACUAAAUUGAUGAUUACUGCUGUUAAAUUGGGACUUGCAAGCAGUAGUUCCCUCUUCUUAUCUCUUCUCUCUUGCAGUAGUUGUUGUAGUAGUAGUUUCUUGCAGUAGUUUAGUGUACGAUUUGUCUUUGGUGGAGUAUUUCUUGAGCUGUGUUGUAUUUCCUGUGACUAAAUAGUGAAUCUAGUUACAACAAAGCAUGCCAGUACUUGUCUUUGGUGGAGUAGUUUGACAGUGAGGAUCAGUGAUGUUCCCAAUUAAUUUGGUGUAGUUUUGAUAGUUAGAGUAGCAUGUUGGAGUAGGGUAGUCCACAUUUGUCUACAUUAGACCAGAUUAUUCCGAUUAGUCCACAUUUCAUAUUAUUCUUGGAGCAAUGUACUAUAGCAGCAGUACUGUACUGUAGCAGCAACAUGAGUAAACUGAAUACUCCUUCAUAUGCUUGGUUCCUUCUUAUUCUUCCUCAGAUUGUGAAAAUGGAUUCACUCCUUCUUAUGCACUGCACUGUACUGUAGUAUAGGUCAUCUUUGAAUUAAUACUCCAAAAUUUAUUAGUAUUGGAGGAUUGAUUGUUUCCAAAUCAAUACUCCUGGGCAUCAUUCAUGGCUGUCUAGUAGUCGACAUACUUCUGGUUCCAUUUAGUGUAUGCAGGUAGCAGCAGCUUAAGUGUAAUGGAGUUGUUUUGUUACUCUAUGCCUACUUAGUUAGAGUUGGCACCAUCUCCUUGUCGUUUAUAGCAUAAACGCCUUCACUAUUCUUGCUCUGAACCUCUGAUCCUGAUGCUGAUUGUAUUUGUCUUGAUGGAAUAACAUGCAACAUGGUGACUCUAGUGCAGGUAGCGUUGGCCAUCCUCUUCGAGGUUGUGUUUAGGUGAUAACUCGGGUAGCCAUGACACUACUCUGGCUGAUUAGUACCCAGUGGCAUGUUUGUAAUAUUUAUAUGCAUUUUACUUGUAGAAAUAAUGCUCACGGUAUAUUUAUAUGUCCUGCAGCGCAUGCUCCUUUUCGGUCUGUAAAGAAUGUUGAUAUGGUGUUUUGGCAGCUGUGAUAUUAGAUUGCACUUCUUUAUGUGAUUUACUCAUGUUGGUACUACUUGUUAAGUGAUUGCUCUGUAACUUGUCUUUCUCGGAACAGUUUGCUUGGUCUUUCAUAUCUGACUAUGUAAUGUAGAAGCUCUACUUUAUCCUAAUAGUUGCAUGUAGCAUUGUGCUACUAUCUGUGUGAUGCUAAACAAUAUGCUCUUAAUCUGUUGAUAUAUUCUCAAGUGUUGUUCACCAUUUACAUUGUUUUUACAUUUUCUAUAUUCACAAAUAGUAGUAGUGUCUGGUCUAGAUAAUCUGUAAAUUUUGUUGUCUUGUUGAUAAUGCCAUAUAUCCUAAGCAAUGAUAUUACAUUUCUGUUUGUAUGGUAAUAUAAAAAAUAUUGAUGUUGUCAUAAUUUUCAUUGUGUGUGCCUUUCAUUUCUUUAUUUUGAUUGUUUCCCUUGUAUUCUAUAUGCUUCUAAUGGUCGAUCCUUUCAAUGACAGGUGUUGUGUUCUAGAAGAUGAAAGAGGAAGAAAAUUUAUUUUUGUUGAACUAAAUUUUUUGUAUUCUGUUUUGUUGUACAUAUGAUUUGAUAGUUUUGUAUAGGAACAUGUGAUACUAUUUUGUAGGGCUUUAUGGCCUGUGAUGUAAACAUAUUUAGUGAUGAAUUAUGAAAUUAUUUGCAAAAUUUAUUGAAAAGGAGAAUCAUUUGUAUGAA